UACGUAGGGGGCAAGCGUUGUCCGGAAUCAUUGGGCGUAAAGCGCGUGUAGGCGGCUUCGUCAGUCCGUUGUGAAAGUCCAGGGCUCAACCCUGGAAUGCCGAUGGAUACUGCGGAGCUAGAGUCCGGAAGAGGCGAGUGGAAUUCCUGGUGUAGCGGUGAAAUGCGCAGAUAUCAGGAGGAACACCGGUGGCGAAGGCGGUGGUCUGGGCCAGCACUGACGCUGAGGAGCGAAAGCGUGGGGAGCAAACAGG
rnacentral:rRNA from 1 species